rnacentral:rRNA from 1 species
AUUAACGCUAGCGGCAGGCCUAAUACAUGCAAGUCGAACGGCAGCGGGUGUAGCAAUACAUGCCGGCGAGUGGCGCACGGGUGCGUAACGCGUAUGCAAUCUACCUGUAACUGGGGAAUAGCCUUCCGAAAGGAAGAUUAAUACCGCAUAAUAUCACGAUUCGGCAUCGUUUUGUGAUCAAAACUCCGGUGGUUACAGAUGAGCAUGCGUGACAUUAGCUAGUUGGUGAGGUAACGGCUCACCAAGGCGACGAUGUCUAGGGGGUCUGAGAGGAUGAUCCCCCACACUGGUACUGAGACACGGACCAGACUCCUACGGGAGGCAGCAGUAAGGAAUAUUGGACAAUGGCCGCAAGGCUGAUCCAGCCAUGCCGCGUGCAGGAUGACGGUGCUCUGCAUUGUAAACUGCUUUUGUUCGGGAAUAAACCCUUUCACGUGUGAGAGGUUGAAUGUACCGAAAGAAUAAGGGACGGCUAACUUCGUG